rnacentral:rRNA from 1 species
AUUGAACGCUGGCGGCAUGCUUUACACAUGCAAGUCGGACGGCAGCGGGGUAGUGCUUGCACUACUGCCGGCGAGUGGCGAACGGGUGAGUAAUAUAUUGGAACGUACCGAGUAAUGGGGGAUAACCAAUCGAAAGAUUGGCUAAUACCGCAUACGCUCUGAGGAGGAAAGCAGGGGACCUUCGGGCCUUGCGUUAUUCGAGCGGCCAAUAUCUGAUUAGCUGGUUGGUGGGGUAAGGGCCUACCAAGGCGACGAUCAGUAGCGGGUCUGAGAGGAUGAUCCGCCACACUGGGACUGAGACACGGCCCAGACUCCUACGGGGGGCAGCAGUGGGGAAUUUUGGACAAUGGGCGCAAGCCUGAUCCAGCCAUGCCGCGUGUCUGAAGAAGGCCUUCGGGUUGUAAAGGACUUUUGUUAGGGAAGAAAAAGGAGCGGUUAAUACCCGGUUCUGCUGACGGUACCUAAAGAAUAAGCACCGGCUAACUACGUG